rnacentral:rRNA from 1 species
AGUGAACGCUGGCGGUAGGCCUAACACAUGCAAGUCGAACGGCAGCACAGUAAGAGCUUGCUCUUACGGGUGGCGAGUGGCGGACGGGUGAGGAAUACAUCGGAAUCUACUUUUUCGUGGGGGAUAACGUAGGGAAACUUACGCUAAUACCGCAUACGACCUACGGGUGAAAGCAGGGGAUCUUCGGACCUUGCGCGAUUGAAUGAGCCGAUGUCGGAUUAGCUGGUUGGCGGGGUAAAGGCCCACCAAGGCGACGAUCCGUAGCUGGUCUGAGAGGAGGAUCGGCCACACUGGAACUGAGACACGGUCCAGACUCCUACGGGAGGCAGCAGUGGGGAAUAUUGGACAAUGGGCGCAAGCCUGAUCCAGCCAUACCGCGUGGGUGAAGAAGGCCUUCGGGUUGUAAAGCCCUUUUGUUGGGAAAGAAAAGCAGCAGGUUAAUACCCAGCUGUUCUGACGGUACCCAAAGAAUAAGCACCGGCUAACUUCGUG